GUAGGUGAACCUGCGGAAGGAUCAUUAUCGAUUCUGACUGUAUGCCAGGUAACUGACUCUGUUAGCACCUCGAAAUCGUCGCAUCGAUCGGGCUUCGGGUGAAACCGGAGUCUGCCGUCGAUGCGGCGCGGCGACGUACGGUCGUCGAUACGCAUACCUCUUAGCGCUGGCGGGCGCAGCCGUAAUAUCCGGGUACCUCUCGCAGCCGGCCGUAUUUGGCGAGGUUUAAAGAAUCGUCGUCGGUCGCCCG
rnacentral:misc_RNA from 1 species